CAACGCUAAACUGCGAACCCCGCCAGGCCCGGAAGGGAGCAACGGUAGUGGUGGCUGCGUGUGCCGGGAUGUGGCUUUUGGGG
rnacentral:SRP_RNA from 1 species